GGAGGGGGAUAACGGCUGGAAACGGCCGCUAAUACCCUAUAUGCCGAGAGGUGAAAUGAGUUUUCGCCUGAGGAUGAGCUCGCGUCUGAUUAGCUAGUUGGUGGGGUGAGAGCCUACCAAGGCAUCGAUCAGUAGCUGGUCUGAGAGGAUGAUCAGCCACACUGGGACUGAGACACGGCCCAGACUCCUACGGGAGGCAGCAGUGGGGAAUUUUCCGCAAUGGGCGAAAGCCUGACGGAGCAACGCCGCGUGAGGGAUGAAGGCCUCUGGGCUGUAAACCUCUUUUAUCAAGGAAGAAGAUCUGACGGUACUUGAUGAAUAAGCCACGGCUAAUUCCGUGCCAGCAGCCGCGGUAAUACGGGAGUGGCAAGCGUUAUCCGGAAUUAUUGGGCGUAAAGCGUCCGCAGGCGGCCUGAUAAGUCUGUUGUCAAAGCGUGGAGCUUAACUCCAUUUCGGCAAUGGAAACUGUGAGGCUUGAGUGUGGUAGGGGCAGAGGGAAUUCCCGGUGUAGCGGUGAAAUGCGUAGAUAUCGGGAAGAACACCAGUGGCGAAGGCGCUCUGCUGGGCCAUAACUGACGCUCAUGGACGAAAGCCAGGGGAGCGAAAGGGAUUAGAUACCCCUGUAGUCCUGGCCGUAAACGAUGAACACUAGGUGUCGGGGGAAUCGACCCCCUCGGUGUCGUAGCCAACGCGUUAAGUGUUCCGCCUGGGGAGUACGCACGCAAGUGUGAAACUCAAAGGAAUUGACGGGGGCCCGCACAAGCGGUGGAGUAUGUGGUUUAAUUCGAUGCAACGCGAAGAACCUUACCAGGGUUUGACAUCCUGCGAAUCCCUUGGAAACUUGGGAGUGCCUUCGGGAGCGCAGAGACAGGUGGUGCAUGGCUGUCGUCAGCUCGUGUCGUGAGAUGUUGGGUUAAGUCCCGCAACGAGCGCAACCCACGUCUUUAGUUGCCAGCAUUCAGUUGGGCACUCUAGAGAGACCGCCGGUGAUAAACCGGAGGAAGGUGUGGAUGACGUCAAGUCAUCAUGCCCCUUACAUCCUGGGCUACACACGUACUACAAUGCUACGGACAAAGGGCAGCAAACUCGCGAGAGCUAGCAAAUCCCAUAAACCGUGGCUCAGUUCAGAUCGUAGGCUGCAACUCGCCUACGUGAAGGAGGAAUCGCUAGUAAUCGCAGGUCAGCAUACUGCGGUGAAUACGUUCCCGGGCCUUGUACACACCGCCCGUCACACCAUGGAAGUUGGCCACGCCCGAAGCC
rnacentral:rRNA from 1 species